CGCAAGCCUGACGGAGCAAGACCGCGUGCGGGAUGACGGCCUAAUGGUUGUAAACCGCUUUUCUCUGGGAAGAUGAUGACGGUACCAGAGGAAUCAGCCUCGGCUAACUCCGUGCCAGCAGCCGCGGUAAUACGGAGGAGGCAAGCGUUAUCCGGAAUUAUUGGGCGUAAAGCGUCCGUAGGUGGUUAUUCAAGUCUGCUGUCAAAGCGUGGGGCUUAACUCCAUAGAGGCAGUGGAAACUGGAUGACUUGAGUGCGGUAGGGGUCGAGGGAAUUCCCAGUGUAGCGGCGAAAUGCGUAGAUAUUGGGAAGAACACCAGUGGCGAAAGCGCUCGACUGGGCCUGCACUGACACUGAGGGACAAAAGCUAGGGGAGCA
rnacentral:rRNA from 1 species